CUGCUACCAGGAAAAAAAAGCUGUUGAAUUUGAUGUUGUCUUCAUCAUUGGCUGCGUUUUUUAAAAAAGAGCUAGUGAGCAGCACCGAGCGAGUCCUUUGGAACUCCAAGGAAGAAGUGACAAAUACUUCCUUGAAGAAAAGCCCAACUAUACAACAGAGCUGGCACCUCCUGAAAGGAUAUAAGCCUGUGGCCGAACCAUCCUGAACACUGCUGAUCCAGUUUAAAAGGAUGCAGGAUACAAGAGGAAGCAAAAGUAAGAGGAGGUUCAGAUCUGGAGUUGAUGUUUCCAGAAGAGUGGGAGGGAAAAAGCUCAGGCCUGGGUCAUUCCUUCUCUGAAGAGAAGACCACACUCCUCCCUGGACCAGGUAUUUCCUCACCACAAUGUAGUUUAUCUAUCUUGCUUCUGGAAACAGGACCAGAUUGACAAGCCA